GCUUCUUUGACUAGCAGAGCCACUGUGGCAGUGGCUUGCAGACAUGUGUAAAUAAUAGGUCCUCCUAACUGCAACUAAGGGGUUGAGAAAGAUACUGGAUUAGAAUUUUUCCUGAGAUGCCCUUUAUGGUCGUGCCUUGGGAAGAAGGGAGGCCUGGAUUAGAGAGAAGAAAGAUACUGGCUGCAGUCUUUAGAAGGAGGUCUAUCUUCCUUCUUUCAAUUCCUAGAAUCAUGUGAGGCUCUUGUGCUGUAAUGGCAGUUUAAGCUGCUGGAGCCUGGGGUUUGAGCGCCAGGACCCAUUAGUCCUGUUGGACCAUUUGUGAGACUGCUUCUGAACCCAGUGACCUCUGUCUUUGGGGGCAGUUUGAUCUCCAGUGGUCUCCACCACAGGCUGGACAGGGUUGAGAUGGCUUCUUUUUGCUGUUUUGGAACUCCUUUUUAAAGUGCCCUGGCUGCCACACCGAUAGCAAUGAGCAGAUGCACCUCAGGGAUCCUGGACUUUGCAAGCCUGCAAAGCAGGGCCUGAGGAUAUUCUGCAUUCAGUUGAUGGACAAUCAAGGUGCAUAAAGCAUGUGCAUAUCUCUGUCUCCUCUGCCUGGAAUGAUGCACAACAUGUUCUCCAUUUUUCCUUUGGAAGUCUCUGUCAGAAACAUGCUACCACAUGGAAAGAUCUACAUGGCAAGGAACUGAAAGAAUGAAAGAGGACCCCUUCUAAUAGCUAGCAAGAGGCUGAUUCUGUCAGCCUAAUAGCCUGUAAGGAACUAAAUCCUGCCAACAACCACGUGUCUUGAAAAUGUAUCCUUCCACAGUCUAGCCUCAGAUAAGAGUCUACCCCAAACAAUAGCUUGGUUGCAACCUUGUGAAAGACACUGAAGCAGAGAACCCAGUUAAGUCACACCCAGAUUUUUGGCCCAGAGAAAUUGUGAGAUAACGAACAUACCUUGUUUUAAGCUGCUAAUUUUGUGGGAAUCAGUUACACAGCAAUAGAGAACUAAAAAAUUUGCUCAAGGUAAUGGAAGUAAUAAGUUGAUGAGUAAGAAUGUGAAACUUGACAGUUUGAUUUAGGAAGUUUAUGCUAACAGCUGCAAUUUUAUAUUUUUACAUUGGAACAUUUUUAUUUUUUAUGUUUCAGUAGAAAUUGUUCUAGUACCAGUUUUAAUUAUAAAAGGUACCAUGAUAAAAGCCAAAAUCGGUUACCUGAGAGUAAGAUGUUCCUAUCUAAUAGAGUUCUUGGGUAUCUACUUGCAUCCAUUGAGAAAUAAAGAUUUGGAAAGUAUUCUGAGUGAGGGAAAGACUUGAACUUUGCCCAUAACUGGCAUUCAGAUAAAGACAAGUUUGAUAAAUACCCUAGCAGUAGUCAUACACAUGGGAGAUGAUGGGGUUUCUGAUAUUAAAUUUCUGUGAGAGGGGAUUGCAUCUAACACAAUCAUCUCAACUUUAAAUGAGGCUCUAGGGUUGAAGUAAAAUGAUAGCUCAGAGCACAGCUUGGUGGCAGUUACCAGUUCUAAUGGCAUCUCAGUGCUCUGUGCAGAAGAGGACUGUGUAGGAGUUGAAAGAGAUGUUUCCUUUGACUCUGAAACUCUGACACUGAAGCAAAGUCACUGUGGGACCCAAUUAAUUGAGUGUAAGACAGAGGAUAACAUUUCUCUCACUUGGCAAGUAUGGUGAGAGAGCCCCAGCUCAACAAUUCCAAGGCUCAAAUAAUUUUGUCACCAGUGACAGCUUUAUUGGGCAGCAGGAGCAGAGGUCUGUUUGUCUGUGGACCUGUCUGUUCCUGAGGCAUGGGAGCCCAGCCCAAUGAGUUGUGGGAAGGACAGCAAGCAGGACUCAUACAUAUGUGAGUGGAGAUAAGGAUAGGGAAUAUUGCAGUCAAGCAGAGGAGGGUUUACAGAUAGAGUGUUAAUGUAGGUGUCACGAUAUUUCACGUGUAGGCUGAUGAUGCCAGAACAUUAAGUUAUAUAAAGAUUAAAGAAAAUAAAUAAGCUAUGAAAUUCCACAGCCCAAUCACUCACAUGUCUGUGCAAAAUAUCUCUCGUGUAAAAUUGGUGAUUACAUUCUGAAGAAACUUGUUUCUGAAUAUUUUAUGCUGCCAUAGUUAUUUGAAACUUGGCAGUCUGAAUAUUUAUGCUGCCAUAGAGUUAUUUGAAAAUACAAAGUAGAAUUAUUUAAAUUAUUCUUGAAAAUGAAUGUGUUCAUUAAGUCAAUGUACAGCCACUACUAAUUAAGCGCCUCUUUGUAGGAGGGAGAGAGAGAGAGAGAGAGAGAGAGAGAGAGAGAGAGAGAGAGAGAGAGAUACUACUGAAGCCUGAGUAGAUACGAAAAUAUCUCCGUUAAGAAGUUUCAAACCCACUGAACCAGACUGAAACUGAUGACUUGAUCAUGAUAUUUGUCAAGUUAAUGUCUAAAGACUUUCGUCUGUGAAAGAUAGUGAAACAGCUAUGCAAAUUUAUGCAUAAAAAUAAAAAUCCCAUAUGUGCCUAGAGGGAGAGGUUUCCAGCCAAAAUGCUAAUGAUAUGACAUAAUAAUACUUAACAUUUCUAUAGAUUUUAAUUCAAAGAGCUUAAAAUGUACUACAAAUAUCUACUAAAUGAGAAUAAGCCGUAUUGUCUUCCUGUGUUACACAUUUCAAGAGUGACUACAUUUUAAUUGAACAAAAAUAUAUGCAUAAUAAUAAAAUCUUCAAAGUGAAAACACCAGGAAAUGGCUAAAUAAACUGUUUAAGAUUUUAAAACAUCUCACUGAUCCCAUUGAAUUAAAUGUAUGAUCAAAACUGCAUGCAAAUUUGGACAUCUGAAGCAUUGUAAAGAUGAUUCUAUUCCACAAGCAUUUUUGUUUUUACUAUAUGAGCUAUCAUAAAAUGUUUUGAACUAGUGUGAAUUCCAGGUUAUAUGAACAAAACAUGGCUGCUGCCUAAAGGAGUUUACAAACUAAUGGGGGAAUAAAACAAGUGAGUGGUUCUAAUAUUAAUCAGAUGUUAUGUGCUAAGGAGCUUUAAAGAAGGCUCCAUGAGGAAACAGGAGUAAGUGUCUGUGAUCGGCACUGGAGAGGGCAAUUGAGACAGAUAUUGGAGUAACAGGACUUCCCACACUUGUACUGGAGGAAGUACAUUUGAGGCAUAAUAAAAUAAUGUUCACGGAAGCCAAAACUGAUGAAAGGGAUCAGGAUAUGCCACUCCAAAAUAUGCCACUUUGACAUAAGCAUUAUUUGGAGCUGAAGGCAUUUGAAUUCCUGAAGUCCCUUAUCUGCCUAAAAGCAGAGGCUCUCAAAAGAAGUCAGAAGAACUCAAUUAUCAUAAAUCCCCUCCCUGGGAGCAACUCUAAUCUCUUCUCAGAGAUAAAAUGUUGAGAAAUUGGCACCACAGCCAAAUAGACUAUUGUCACAAUGUCGUAUCUCAUAGACAUUGUCACAUUGUCAUAUCUCCCAUUUAUUCUCCUAAGAGCCCACUGACCUUUCCAAAAAGUCAUUUGCUUUUCUGUAAGUACCCUUCUCCCCACUCUAUUAUGCUAAAUUAGGUAUAUAAACCCCAAAUUCUAACCGCCCUUUUGAGUUACUCAUCACUGAGCACUUUCCUGUGUAUGCACUGUGCACAUGUUCAUAAACAUCUGUUUGUUUGUGAUCUGUCUUUUGUCAGUCUCAUUUACAACCUCCCCAGCCAAUGAAUCCAAGACGGGCAGAGGAAAUAGAAAAAUGUUCUCCCCUACACUGACACACUGAUAGAGUGUGAUGUGCGUUAAAGGGAAUGAUGGGGAGUAGCCUGAAAAGGCAAGUGAUGCCAGACUGAGGAAGAAUUAUUUUCUUCAGGUAAUGAGAAACAACUGAAGUGCUUUGAACAUGACAGUGACAGAAUUAUGUUUGAUUCUUGAAUCUGUUUUCAUAGCUCUAAUGUUAUAAAUCUGACACAGAAAAGACAGAAAUAGAAGCAGUUUGGAGAGGGAGAAUGAUAAUUUUAGUUUUAGACAUGGAAUCAUAAACUGUUAGUACAAAGUCUUAGAAGUUAUUCCCUUAGCCCACAGCCCCUAAUUCCCCAACCCUGUUUUUUUUUUUAACACAAGAAACAGAGAACCCCAGAUAUAACUUACUUAACAUGCUUAAAUCCAUGCAGUCAAUCAGUGGUGUUUUAAGGUGCUGAUGGUAUGUUUCAAUAGAGAUAUCUAGUAGGAGAUUGGAAAUGUAAAUAUAGAUUUCAUAAAAGAGUUGCAAGUUAGACCUAUAGAUUUGGGAUUCUUUCUCAUAAAAUUUAAAAGAGCAUUCAGUUGGCGGUGGGUGGACAGGCAAGAAUAAGGAAUAAGAAUGAAGGAUAAAUUAUUCCAUGAAAGGUAGACAUUAGAAAGCAUGCUUCUAAUCAUUUGAAAGCUACUUUGGCAUAAAAGACCUGAGGCUAGAUUGGAGAGCCCAACUUUGAACUCAAAUGCUUCAUUUUUUCCUAUAGUUUAUUGCCUGGGAGUGUUGAGACAAAUAAGUUUUAAUUUAGGGUUUUAUUAAGAGCAUUACAUGCAUUUUCUCCUUUAAUUAUCACAAAGUCCAUGAGGCAGGUAGUUUUAUUAUUCCCAUUUUAUAGACGAGUAAACAGAGGGAGAGAAAGUUUACAGAGCUUGCCUAAAACAUUAAAGUUAGUGAAUGGACUAUCCGGGAUUGCAGUCCAUUUAUUCUUAUUCUUAGGACCUGUCAUUUUAAAUACAAGUGCACCUUCCCAUCACUGCCUUUGCUCUUCUGUUUUUCUUCUGGUAUUCACUAUAUUUAUGCGUAUACCAAGACACAGGAAUAUGAAAGAUAUAAGAAAAAAAAUCAAUGUCACUGAAUAAAACGUAUUUUGUUAUCUUUUUCCUACGGAGAAAAAUAAAACAUUCAGUUAAUCUGUUUUUCUUUUAUGUAAAGAACAAAACCCACAAAACAUUGAUAACAUGUUUUAUUUUUGUAUUAUGAGUAGAAAACCGAAUAGGAAUAACAAUGAAGACAAGGGGCAUGAAGAAAAAACAUGAAGAGAAUUAGAAAAAUAGAAGCAAAAAAACCGAUUGAGAGAGAAAAAAACCAGACAUAUGAGGAAAUCGGGAAACUAAAAUUGAUGAAGCUCCUACUAUGUAUCACUGCCCGUGGUGGCAGUGUUGAUUGGUUUCCGACUUAGGCCAACCUGUGUGUUCCCUGCUUUCAUGGCUCAUCGCCUAGGAUAGAGACAAAAACUGCCAGAUACUAACAUUUGCAGAUACCCUGACAGUUAGGGCAUGGGCAUAUGCCCUAAUAUUGACUGGAAAGCCAAGACAUACAGAGAUAUCUGAGAUAAAACCAGCCUUCCUGCUUGGCAGCAAUGAUGAGGAAGAUUGAACCUAGUAUUUUGGCAGCCAUCUUGCAUGACUGUUCAAGUCUAAGGAUGAAACAAUCUGAAAAGAACUAUGAAAAAACCUCACUUCCUCAUGACACUCUGUAGCCACUAAAUGAACCAAUCUUAUAGUUAUCCAACCCUUGAUUUCUUGCCUAUAUAUAUAUAUACAUACAUAUAUAUACACAUACAUAUAUAUAUAUAUACACAUAUUCACUGCUUUAGCCUUUUUUUUUUUUUU
rnacentral:lncRNA from 1 species